rnacentral:rRNA from 1 species
GAUGAACGCUGGCGGCGUGCCUAACACAUGCAAGUCGAGCGGGGAUUUGGAAGGCGCUUGCGCCUUCUGAAUUCUAGCGGCGGACGGGUGAGUAACACGUGGGUAACCUGCCUUAUACAAGGGAAUAACAAUGAGAAAUCAUUGCUAACGCCCUAUAAGCUCACAGCUUCGCAUGAAGCGGGGAGAAAAUGUUUACAGGUAUAAGAGGGGCCCGCGGCUGAUUAGCUAGUUGGCGGGGUAACGGCCUGCCAAGGCGACGAUCAGUAGCCGACCUGAGAGGGCGAUCGGCCACAUUGGGACUGAGACACGGCCCAAACUCCUACGGGAGGCAGCAGUGGGGAAUAUUGCACAAUGGGCGCAAGCCUGAUGCAGCAACGCCGCGUGAAGGACGAAGGGUUUCGGCUCGUAAACUUCUUUAAGCGGGGACGAAGAAAAUGACGGUACCCGCAGAAUAAGCGCCGGCUAACUACGUGCCAGCAGCCGCGGUAAUACGUAGGGCGCGAGCGUUAUCCGGAAUGACUGGGUGUAAAGGGUGAGUAGGCGGUCUGGCAAGUCAUAUGUGAAAUCCCCGGGCUUAACCCUGGGACUGCAUAAGAAACUGCCGGGCUGGAGUGCGGGAGAGGUAAGCGGAAUUCCUGGUGUAGCGGUGAAAUGCGUAGAUAUCAGGAAGAACACCAGUGGCGAAGGCGGCUUACUGGACCGUUACUGACGCUGAGUCACGAAAGCGUGGGGAGCGAACAGGAUUAGAUACCCUGGUAGUCCACGCCGUAAACGAUGAGCGCUAGGUGUCGGGUCGAGAGAUUCGGUGCCGCAGCUAACGCAAUAAGCGCUCCACCUGGGGAGUACGGUCGCAAGAUUGAAACUCAAAGGAAUUGACGGGGGCCCGCACAAGCGGUGGAGCAUGUGGUUUAAUUCGAAGCAACGCGAAGAACCUUACCAAGGCUUGACAUGGAGACGACCGGCGCGGAGACGCGCCCUCCCUUCGGGGCGUCUCACACAGGUGGUGCAUGGUUGUCGUCAGCUCGUGUCGUGAGAUGUUGGGUUAAGUCCCGCAACGAGCGCAACCCUUAUCCUCAGUAGCCAGUACUUCGGGUAGGCACAGUGGGGAGACUGCCGUGGAUAACACGGAGGAAGGCGGGGACGACGUCAAAUCAUCAUGCCCCUUUUGUCUUGGGCUACACACGUGCUACAAUGGCCGGCACAAAGUGACGCGACCGCGCGAGCGCGAGCAAAUCACAAAAAAGCGGCCUCAGUUCGGAUUGUAGUCUGCAACCCGACUACAUGAAGUCGGAAUCGCUAGUAAUCGCAAAUCAGCAUGUUGCGGUGAAUACGUUCCCGGGCCUUGUAUACACCGCCCGUCACACCAUGGGAGUUGGAGGCGCCCGAAGUCUGUGACCUAACCGCAAGGAGGGAGCAGCCUAAGGUGAAGCCAGCGACUGGGGUG